rnacentral:snRNA from 1 species
AUACUUACCUGGACGGGGUCAAUGGGUGAUCAUGAAGACCCAUGGCCUAGGUUGGUGACCUCCAUUGCACUUUGGAGGGGUGCCCGCCUAAGGUCGGCUCAAGUGGCCGAGCCUACGUCAUAAUUUGUGGUAGUGGGGGCCAGCGUUCGCGCGGUCCCUAC